CCUACGGGAGGCAGCAGUGAGGAAUAUUGGUCAAUGGACGAGAGUCUGAACCAGCCAAGUAGCGUGAAGGAUGACUGCCCUAUGGGUUGUAAACUUCUUUUAUAUGGGAAUAAAACGUUCCACGUGUGGGAUUUUGUAUGUACCAUAUGAAUAAGGAUCGGCUAACUCCGUUCCAGCAGCCGCGGUAAUACGGCGGAUCCGAGCGUUAUUCGGAUUUAUUGGGUUUAAAGGGAGCGUAGGUGGAUUGUUAAGUCAGUUGUGAAAGUUUGCGGCUCAACCGUAAAAUUGCAGUUGAAACUGGCAGUCUUGAGUACAGUAGAGGUGGGCGGAAUUCGUGGUGUAGCGGUGAAAUGCUUAGAUAUCACGAAGAACUCCGAUUGCGAAGGCAGUUCACUGGACUGCAACUGACACUGAGGCUCGAAAGUGUGGGUAUCAAACAGGAUUAGAUACCCCAGUAGUC
rnacentral:rRNA from 1 species